AUGACUAAUGGUGGCUCACAUUUUAUUCAUGGUGCUUUCCAUAAAAUGCUUGCUAAGUAUGAUGUUAAUCAUAGAAUUGCAUCUCCUUAUCACCAACAGUCUAGUGGUCAAGUAGAAUUGAGUAAUAGAGAGCUCAAAUUAAUUUUGCAGAAGACUGUUAAUAGAUCUAGAAAGAAUUGGUCCAAGAAACUUGAUGAUGCAUUAUGGGCCUAUAGAAUUGCAUAUAAAAAUCCUAUGGGUAUGUCUCCGUAUAAAAUGGUUUAUGGAAAAGCAUGUCACUUACCCCUCGAAUUAGAACAUAAGGCUUAUUGGGCUAUUAAAGAGCUCAAUUAUGAUUUCAAACUUGUCGGUGAGAAGAGGUUAUUUGACAUUAGCUCACUUGAUGAAUGGAGAACCCAUGCCUAUGAGAAUGCCAAAUUAUUUAAAUAA
rnacentral:rRNA from 1 species